rnacentral:rRNA from 1 species
GCCCUUCGGGGCGAGUAUAGUGGCGAACGGGUGAGUAACGCGUAAGAAUUUGCCCUUUAGUGAAGAAUACCUCCGAGAAAUCGGAGUUAAUACUGCAUACGUCCCUCCGGGGAGAAAGGUGGCCUCUUGCUACCGCUGAAGGAUAAGCUUGCGUACUAUUAGCUAGUUGGUGAGGUAAAGGCUCACCAAGGCGAUGAUGGUUAGCCGGCCUGAGAGGGUGUACGGCCACAUUGGGACUGAGAUACGGCCCAGACUCCUACGGGAGGCAGCAGUGGGGAAUAUUGCACAAUGGACGAAAGUCUGAUGCAGCGACGCCGCGUGGAGGAUGACGGUCUUCGGAUUGUAAACUCCUGUUAAGUGGGAAGAAAGACGUGUAGUUAAUAGCUACACGGGAUGACGGUACCACUAGAGAAAGCUCCGGCUAACUUCGUGCCAGCAGCCGCGGUAAUACGAAGGGAGCGAGCGUUAUUCGGAAUUACUGGGCGUAAAGGGCGCGUAGGCGGUCUUCUAAGUCAGUUGUUAAAGCCCAUAGCUUACCUAUGGACCAGCAAUUGAUACUGGAGGACUAAGAGGGCAAGAGAGAGAAGUG